rnacentral:rRNA from 1 species
AUUGAACGCUGGCGGCAUGCUUUACACAUGCAAGUCGAACGGUAACAGGGUGCUUGCACCGCUGACGAGUGGCGAACGGGUGAGUAAUGCGUCGGAACGUGCCGAGUAGUGGGGGAUAACGCAGCGAAAGUUGUGCUAAUACCGCAUACGUACUGAGGUAGAAAGUGGGGGACCUUCGGGCCUCACGCUAUUCGAGCGGCCGACGUCUGAUUAGCUAGUAGGUGAGGUAAAGGCUCACCUAGGCGACGAUCAGGAGCGGGUCUGAGAGGAUGACCCGCCACACUGGGACUGGGACACGGCCCAGACUCCUACGGGAGGAAGCAGUGGGGAAUUUUGGACAAUGGGCGAAAGCCUGAUCCAGCCAUGCCGCGUGUCUGAAGAAGGCCUUCGGGUUGUAAAGGACUUUUGUCAGGGAGGAAAUCCCUAGUGCUAAUAACACUGGGGGAUGACAGUACCUGAAGAAUAAGCACCGGCUAACUACGUGCCAGCCGCCGCCGUAA